rnacentral:lncRNA from 1 species
GUUCUGAAGGGGGUGGGAGUUCAUCUCUUCCUUCUGCUGUUCAGGGACAUGCUGCGCAUUGGUCAGAGGGUGGUAAGCAAUUGCUUUUGCAUCACCUCUUAUAUACAUUCAUAUAUAUAUAUAUAUACACACAUAUUGUCAAACUAUUAUCCUUUUCUUUUUCUUUCUUAGGAAAUAGUUUUAUCUCAACCACAAGCACUGCUUACUUUUUCUGAUUCUCUCUCCCAUCCCACUGGGAAGGAGGGAAUGAGUGAGAAUGACUGAGGAGUGCUGAGUUACCCCCGGGGUUAAACCGCAACAAAUAGUUGCUGGCUUCUGAACUUGGAGGAUUUUGUUUGUCUGUUGGCUGCCUCAGUUAAGUCUAGUUAUUUAAACUACCACUGAUGCUAGUAGGGAAUGCUCGCAGUAGUGCACAGAUGGCCUUUACCAGCAAGGACUGUGCAAAAUGUUAUUUUUAUUCCAUGUAAAAUACCUUUGUUCAUAUAGCCACAAGGACAGUAGUCAAUGGGAUAAGCAGAAAGCACUGAAUUUUACAGAAGCGAAAGGUAAAAUCUCUGAACACUGUGGAAAUCGGCAAAUGAUGAAGUUCGAUACCCACUCGUAGGAGGGGGUUGGUUUUUUUAAUUAUUAUUAAAGAAAUUAGAAAUAAUAUUUUCAAUUCCUUUGUCCUUGUGUUCUCCGCAGAGCGCUCUGGGACAAGCUCCUUUGCCGAUGAGCUGCCCAUCUGGAGUCACAUAAAGCCACAGUGCUUCACCUGCUGGUCUGCAGGAUGCUCACCUGAUUCCCCUGUGCAGUGUAUCACCCAGAGCACCACAUCUCAUUGCAUGGUUAAUGUGUCACCUCCCAAAGCUUAACAUCCACAGAGCGAUGUGAAAUAAGUCAGCGUAAGGCAAGGUCCACUUUGGGAGCACUGAUUUACAUUCAGAGUAAAGAGCUAUCUAUUGAUAGUAAUAUUACAAAUGGAACACAGCGUAUCAUUUUUAAAAAUAGCUUUUACAUUGAAGGGAUGGAAGGGCUGGCAUAAGGUGUUUGUAAUCCAUGUUUUUUAGAUUUAAUUUUAAUUUGCAAAUAAUUUUGCAUAAUGUGCAGUUAAGAUUAUUUCAAAAGGAUUUGCAAUACCCCCAUCUUAUUUCCUUUUCAACACAUUGUGAAAAUCUAACGGGGGAGAGGAUAACUGCUAAAAAACGUAAACCUUUAAUUAAAGACAUCUCUAUGUGAAGGUUCUUUCCUUAGAAUGUUAUUCCAUGCUGCCACCUUCAGGCCAAAGUGUGUCUGACAAAUAGGGAGAUUUGAGCAGUACCCAUCUUAUGAUUUUGCACUGUUACAGUUCUUAAGCCAUCCCAGUAAGAGGAAGCUCUUCUGUCUGCUGGGACGGUGAUUGCUGCAGUGGUGGCAAUGUGAGUUUGGAAAAGUCAAAUUCCUUCAGUUUAAGGGAAGAGAAGCUGAGGGGAGGAAAAUACCACAGCUAAUACAAUAAGCAUAUAUAAUACGGUUUCCUUUAAAAAAUGAUGUCAGAGAAUUAGAACUGUGCUCGUUAGCCAACUGCAGGUUUCUGCAGAACUGCAAAGCAGUUUUAUUGCCUUCCCUCUUCCAGAUUUUUUCCCAGACUUUCAAUUUCUCCUUUCGAUUCUUCCCUGGCAGGAAAAAUGUGAAUUUUAAGGUGAGUAGAUUUGGCUUGGUUGAAAUUCCAAUCAGAGUUAAACUUGAACUUACAGGAGAUAAUUGGUUACCCACAUAGAGAGAGUGAAUUCUGCCAGAAAAGAAAGAAACUGGUGGUGUAGAAACUACACGUUGAUUGCCAUCAAUUCCAAAAGUGCUAAAGAUGUUUGGUUGCAGGAAAAUUGAGUCUCUCCUUAAGGAUUCAGUGUUGAAAUUGAUUUUAAAAACCUAACCCUCACACUGAGUAACAUUUCCUUUGUCCUCAUUCCUGCCUCUGCCGGUUUCUUCCAGUGCCGAGCAGGGAGACCGGUUUAUGGCACUGAGCUAUUGAUUAACUGGUGGCACAGUCCCAUUUUCUGUGUAUCCAAACCUAAAUCCCUUUGAAAUAUAGCACUGCAAAAACAGUGCCUUCCACCCAAAGAAAAAUGUCAUACUGUUCUGUAACAACAAUGGCAAACACUCUCUUUGGACUGAGGAAUAACGCUUCACUUCCUACUUAAAUGGCUUUGCACUGUUGCUCUAAAGAGCUGGCACAUUACUCCCCACAGGUGGCUGCAUUUCAGCGCCCAGGUGAAGUGAGUCUAUUUCAUCUUUCAGCCAAAGUGAGUACUAAACAUAACAUAGGGCUCCUCUAUUUCCACAGGCUAUUAACCUUCCAAAACAUUCACCUCGGAGUCUGAACUUCGCAGUACUUCAGCUUCAAUUCUGAGAAAUGUCUCUAUUCCACAACAACAUGAUAAGUGAGAGUGAAUUAAGUCCCUUGUGCACCAAAAGAUGCAAGUUGCCAGACCAAGAUGAAGAGGUGUAUUCUCCUGGAUCCUUGGGUGGCUCAAUUCAGGCUGGCUGAGUUCAUUGCACUGGCUGUGGGCAGGGGCAGCCUGCCAGCACAACUUCACUUUCUGUGGAUAUGGCACUGACUGACAAGCUGCUGGCAACAGUAGUUCUCGCUUGGUGUUUUCGUAGCUCAUCGUAGAUGAGUGAGUAAGUGCACAGCCCCAUGUGCACAGAUACGCACCAAUUACUUUGUCAUGCCAUCCAGUUAGGAGCUUGAUGAAGAUCACCGUGGUGCAUCUUCCCCCCCAGUUUUCCCCAGUGGAAGACUUCAGGGCUUUGGAGGGCACAUGCAAGCAUGUCACUCUCUUCAGCGAGCAUUUACUUCUUCUUUGUCAGAGCCUUGCAAACUCAGCUUCAAGCACAGAUGGGCCCAAGUAGACAUUUUCAUUUGAAUUCAGUAAGUCUCCUCGGACUGUGGUUCAGUCAAGAGCAAAGCAGGAGUUCUGCUAAAUUAAGCUGCUGUCUGUGGAAGAACUAAUGCAAUUUUUAGUGUUGAGAAACACUGUGGUUUGAUAGGCUUGGCACAUAGGUGGAAUUGCUACUGCACUGUCAUGACAGAUAGCCUUAAAUCAUUUGCUUAGCUCUAAUAUAGGAAUGUAUGAUACUUGUCUUCUUCCAUAACAAUUUUGAUCCUCUCUCAUCUGACAAAACAGCUAUCUUCUUAGUAGGAGAGAAACACGAAGUCUUCUAUUUCUUCAUUAGAAAAGUAACCGUGUUAGUAAAUGUUGCAAAUCGUUGUAUUAUUUGUAACAAAGUAUUACAAUAAAAAGCCCACAGAUGCUCAUUGAUAAUUUAUAGCCUCACUCUACAGCUGGUUUACCAUGGAGCAAAAGAGAAUUUACCAUUGCUUCUGCGUGGAGAAACCCUAGAGAUUGAUAAAUCAUUUCUCAGCAAAAGAAUCUGCGAAGUUACCUGUAGGUGUGAUCCCAGAAAUGGUUUUGGCUUUCUUUUCAAAAUCAGUAUUUCUUUUGAUACAUAGAAGUAUUGUUUUCCAUAUCAGUAAUCCUUUUAAAUAUCCUAUAAAAUGGUUCUGGUAAUUACUGGAAAGCUGUCUUCAUAGAGCUGCUUGAAAUAUAUGUUGUAUUUUUCUGUGCUGCUUCAUGCCAUAGGCACUGGGUCUCCUACCUGCCCCCCUGGUGAGCAGGGCUACUCAACCUGUUCCGUGCAUUGGCUCUCCCUGGAGCUCACUGCUCUUUGUGGAAAGAAUCAAGGGUACCUCAUUGAGGAAAUUCUCAGCACAGCUCCUGGGACAGGCGGUAGAAGCAUUUCACAUGCUAAUACUCUACUCACAGUUGCAGUUGUGUCAUUCAGACGAGUACCUUCUGAUUUAGAGAUGUGAGAACAAAAUGUAGCCCUGUUAACUUGUCUGUCAAUUAUCAGUAGGCAGAUCCUAGAUAAUUAAAAACAAACUUCUUCUUAACAGACAGUGGGAAUCAAUUCUUUGCAUGGUUCUAAUUUAUUGUAUUUCACAGAGAAGGUGAUUCAGAAUCCUGAUUAUUUUUAUUCUCUGUAAGCCCUUUGAAGUCACAGAAUGACAUAAAAUGAUGACUGAGCCUAGCAAUUGACAGGGAUCGAGACAGUUUUUCUCUCCAUCAUGAAACGGAAUGGAGUGUUAUGAAAAGGUUAUCUUCUGCUUUUUGUUUAGGAAAGAAGAGUCAAACUGCGAAACAGAACACUAAAGAAAGGGAAAGCUGCGUUCUGAAAUAGGCAGAGAGAGACCAUUUCAACUCUUCCCAAUUUGCUAGAAAAUAUCUUUACCUCUCUCAUCAUUGCCUUUCAUUUUCCCCUCUCUCAACUCUGUUAAAAUAGUCACUGAGGCUCAUGCCUGAAACUACAGCAACUAAACAGCUUUAGUGUGGGGUGAAUUUGUAACAGGAUUGUUAUAAUUUGUGUCUGGGGACUGGAAAGAACUGUACAUCAUUAUGCAAAUAUAUAUGCAAUAGGCUAAGCGGUGAAACAAAAAGGAAAAGAAAGGAAAUCCCUCAUGGACAGACCAGAGAAUCAACGCAAGAAUUUCCUCUGAAGCAAUUCUGUCACGUUGUGAGAAUACAUGCUUGGACCAUUUUAAUACUUUUUAUUAUUUACUCAGUGGACCAUAACGGCUCUGAAGCUUACUGCAGUGUUUAUUCAAUAGACUAACUCUGUUUUUUUUGUUGUUGUUGUUUUGUUUUGUUUUGUUUUUUUUGCCUACCAUGUAAAUAUGUAUUUGAGUAAUUCUGAAAGGGUGUAUUUUACUCAAUGUACCAUAGUGGCUUCUCUGGAGCCUGUUAUGUUGUACAGUAUUUUCUAGUUUGCUGCAGCCCCUAUGUUAAUACAGAUAUGGUGAUCUUCAUGGCGUGCUUUUUAACUCUGCUCCAAGGACUGCUUCCCUAAGUCUCUGAGGUGCCUGAAUGGAAUAUCAGAUGGCUCCAAGCAGUUUCAUAUUGUGCCAGGCUUCUGUCUCACUCUUCAAAAAUGAAAACCUUCUGGAGAUGUGAAGGUGGGAAUUCCACCACUGUCCAAAGACUCCUGAAGGAGCCUACAGAUAAACUAGCGUGAAAGAGGCUCAAUUCUCUCCAGUCUCCAGUAGUCUCUGCAUGCUUGCUUAAAUAUUUAUUUUUCUGAUUUAUCUAUGAAUAUCUCAAUGACAUUAACUUAAGCAGAAAGAAUUCAAUGUAUUUUUGAGACAACUAUUCAGCUUUGUCUUUCACUCAUUCUUUUCAGUAUUCCCCACUGAGGAUCUGCAUGUUUCUUAGUGACCCAAAAGCAAAACUGUAAUGUCCUAGAAACAUCCAAGGCACAGAGGUGUGCUUCCAAAACCAGAAGCAUCUCUGGGUUUUGGGGAGAGAGGAACUUUUGUGAACAGCAGUUAAUGAAGACUACAAGACUUUUCACCUGUGCCUGGCUUUCCUACAGACUGACAAAGCCACAGUUUGACGUAUUUAUCUUAGAUGUUGUGACAGGUGUGUGGCCUCACUUCUUGGAAACUCAAAGAGUGCUGCGUUUCUGCUGGAAGUUAUGUACUCCAUUCUUGGAUCUGAGGACAGAGGUUGGUGAGACAUUUUCCUUUUCAGAAGACAUGUUUUCCAAAAUGCUUGUUUCUGUCCUGUUUCUGUUUCAUUUAUAGCACAGCUCUAUACACAGUGCUGGCAUUACCAAGAGGUGUGGUGUGAGCUGCGUGGGGAGGGGCACAGGUGAGGAACAAAUUACUGUUCGGAUCACAUAGGAUAUAUCAACGUCAUGAGUGUACUGUGCAGAUGGACUCUCUCUGCUGCAGACGAUGGCAUUACAUUUUGAUUUUUUUGAGCAUAAAACCCCAUAGCAGUGCAGAAGAUUUGUUUUUGUAACAAACAUACAGCUGAUGGAACUGUCAAGUGCUUUCUGACCACUUAUCUCCUAGUCUUAACAAGUAAAUUCAGUUCUGGAACAGAUACAAGAAUUAAAAGAACAAUAGAUGUUUAUUCCCACAAACUCCAGGUGUUUCUUUAAGAAGCCGUGUAUACAGUGCCGAGUAGGUGUUACGUUCUACCUUGCUGUUAUACUACGUUUGUUUUACAAGGCACGAGUGACUGUGCAAGCUAUUUGUCAGUGGAAAAUGAGACUGUUGUUGUAGGUAAGAAGCUCUGAGACUUUGGAAGGUUACGAUGUGAUAUAUGCUGUUGAAUUUCUAAGAACAAGUGUAGCAGAGACUUAUUUCUUUCAACAUUGAUCUUAGCUUCUAUCCUUUGAGGUCUUCUAUCAUUAUUGUUUGAGUAUGUGUUGGUUUUUGCAUGUUGGGAAAUGUGUGUGACAAAAUUCAGUAUCUGCACAGACAAUUUUUCCAUAAAGGUGGGUUUGGAGAAUAGAAGCGUUCUUCUGAAAUGACAAAGUCUGAAGCUGAUGCAUGAUAUUUUCAGUUUGUAAGUUCUACUGACUCAUUUUACUGAGGGAUACAAUGUAAGUCAAGUCCUCUCAUCACUCUUCACGUGCAGCCCCUAAUUAGUUAGGGAAGACUAACGGAAAUUACCACAAACUCCACAGGCCUCCUGAGAUUAUCUAGUGAGAACACAGCUGGCAGGACCUAAGUUCAAGGCAUAUCACAGCUACCUACUCACCUAGCAGAGUACAGUCUUAGGUAAAUUAAGAAAUACUAUUUUGAUCAAAUCCCAUAGAAGCAAAGCGUAUACUCAGCCACUCUACAUGCUGACCCCACCGUAAACAUGCAAAUUGCUGUACUCUCAUCUGUGACAUAGAGACUUCACAUCAUGGGAAAAAAAGGAUCUCUGUAUUUUCUCUUAAUUUUGCAGAAUAUUUGGAUGCAUGGUCACAGCAAUCCCAAAACUAGAUUAUUAAUAGAAAGUAACACGUUUUCUAAAGAUGAACUAGUACCCAAACAAAGGGCAAUUUUCAGUUAACGAGAUAAAGUAUCUUCUUCUGUCAGUUCCUGCACACAACGCAUUAACAUUAAUGACAGUUUCAGCCACACGUGUGUGUAUCUCUCAUUAACUCUAAUGGACAAUACAUGCACAUAGAUCUCUGGUUAAUACCGAGGGGAAUUUCAUAUACGUGCAGCACUCAUUAGUAUUAAUGAGGGUUCUCCUGUGGGUACCUAAUGAUCAUUAAUGAGAGUUACACGCAUGUGUAUUCCCCAUUAACAUUAGUGGCACGUGCAUCUCUCAUUUAUAUUGAUGGGAAAUACAGGAAGCCAUAUCUCAUUAAUAUUAGAAGGAGUGAUGCACACGCUGCGAGGAGACACCUUUUCCUGCUAUAUCCUCAACGAAGGAAGUUUGAGCUGUUAAUUAUUCUCUAAGGAAUCUUUAUUUGGCGUUAUCUUUCUUGGUGAUUUAUCCAAGGUCUCGGUGACGUUUGCCAGAAUGCACUGGUUUCUUUCCCACGUGAAUGAUUUAUUUCUGAAAAAGCCCAAACAUCUUUUCUUUCGUACUGGAGGGUGUGGUAUGUCAUCUCUGUAAUUUUUUUAAGUAAGCAUGUUCCUGAAUUGCUGCUAUUUCAAAGAAAACGCUCUAUGUGCUUUUCACAGCAUAGGGGUGGCACACACCACCUGCUCGGUUAUUGUCUAUAGGCACACAAAAUUUAUUACAAACUCUUGUGAUCGUAACUUCAUUUUACAUCAUCCACUAAAGCAGUGUUGUGUUAAACUUUGACGUGGUUUCUGAUGAAUGUAGUAAAGAUAAAAUGACAUAGCUUCCCUUAAGAGGAAAAAAAAAAAAAAAAGUACACAUUUACUACAGUACAGAGUUCUUCAUUCUUCCAGUUACAAAGAGAUUAAACUUCAGAUAUUGUAUUCUGUUCUUGGUCCCCCACUAAAGGAAGGAUAUUGAGUUGCUCAAGCAUGUGCAGAGAAGAGCUACAAAGCCAGUGAAGGGACUAUAAAAUGAGUCAUGAGGAACAGCUGGGGGACCUGGGGCUGUUUAGUCUAGAGAAGGCUGAGGGGAGGUUUCAUCACUCUCUACAACUACCUGAAAGGAGAAUGCAGCAUGAAGGGUGUCGGUCUCUUUUCUCAGGUGACGGGUGAUAAGACACAAGGAAACAGCCUCACAGUGUAUCAAGGGAAGUUUAGAUUGGAUGUGGGAAAGAAUUUAUUCCUGGAGAAAUUUGUUCAAGCAUUAGAAUGGGCUGCUCAGGGAAGUGGUGGAGUCACCAUCCCUGAAGGCAUCUGGGAGAUGUGUGAAUGUGACACGAAGGAACGUAGUUCAGUGAUGUGGCUUAGUAGGCCAGUCUGAUGGCUGGACUUAUGAGAAUCCUGGUGGUCUUUUCCAACCUACGUGGUUCUGUGAUUCUAUUCUAUGAUUUGAUGUUGCAUUCAAAUAUGCAUUUGUACACCUGCUAGAAUGUUUCCAUGGAAUUUACUGUGUUUUAUAUCUCCUUUUUGAACAUCUGCCAUUGUUGUUGCACAAUGCCACUGCAGAGAUUCAUACUUUAUGUGGUGGGGCAGACUUGUCCUUCUGAGCUGUUCCUGGGGAACACUUCCCUCUCUCUCCACUUUGGGGCAUCGGCGUCUUGAUGAGUGCUGAAGAGACAGGGAGAGACUGCACGUGGUGUCCAUGUGAUAUGAACAGAAGGGGUGAAGGAGGAAGGCUGUUCAACCUGUGAAGUUACGUAAAUGGAGACUGGGGAGCGGUUGUGUGAGUCCUGGAAUCAUAGGAUCGCUAAGGUUGGAAAAGACCCACAGGAUCAUCCAGUCCAACCAUUCACCAAUCACCAAUGGUUCUCGCUAAGCCAUGUCCCUCAACACAACAUCCAAACGCUCUUUGAACACCACCAGGCUUGGUGACUCCACCACCUCUCUGGGCAGUCCAUUCCAGUGCCUGACCACCCUUUCAGAGAAGUAAUUUCCUUACAUUCAGCCUGAAUCUUCCCUGGCACAGCUUGAAGCCAUUCCCUCUAGUCCUAUCACUAGUCACACAAGAGAAGAGGCUGACCCCCAGCUCACUACAACCUCCCUUCAGGUAGUUAUGGAGAGCAAUAAUGUCUCCCCUGAGUCUCCUCUUCUCUAGACUGAACAAUCCCAGCUCUCUCAGCCUAAUCUGGCAAACUGGUGAGAACUGCAAACAGUUCUCACAUACGUAGCCUAUGUUAAGUUAAACUCUUCUUUUUCUGUUCUUUGAUGUUUCUACCACCUUGUAUACAGGAAUUAUAACCUGAAAUAAGAUCUCCAGAUGCCGCCAUAAUGCCUUAGCUACAGCUGAUACUAACAAUAACAGCCAUGCAUAUAUAUGCUGUUUAAAACAGAAAAUAAUAUACUUAGUUCUCAAAAUGCCUUUUUGUAAGAUAGUCUUAUUGCUUUUCGCAUUUGUUCAUACAGAAUUAGUAUAUCUGUUGGCCAUGCAAAUUAGUUACAAAAAACAAACAAAAAAACACACACAUUUGCAAAUAACAAAUGAAAUUUUAAGGAUGAUGUUUAGCAGACACAACUAUACUAAACUAGAUUCCCUAAGGUUGAGGAAGAGCAACACACCUUCAUGUGUCAGUAAAG